UAAAAGCUAAGCCUACAGAGCAGGAAGGAAAUUGGACAGAGGUGAGCUGAAGGGCAGCCAGGGGCCGGCCAGGUGCAAGGAAAAUGAAUGCAUGAUCUGGAUAAGAAUCCACUGGGGAAUUUAGCAAAGAUUCUGUCAAUGAACAAAGAAGGUGGCGAGAGCUCCAGAGCUCCCCGGCUCCAGAUAACACGGCCACUCUCCUAGCUCCCUCCUCUGUCUGUGUGUCACCAUUUGCCAGAACAAAGAAGGGACUCCAAAACUUGUAAACUGGAAGUUCUGUCUGUUUUGCUCACUGCUGUCUCUCAGUGCCUGCGUCUGUGGCAGAUGAUUGUGAUGCGAAGUCAAGUUCAAUGGAAGAGUAGCAAAAUGACAGGUGGAACAGUGUGUUCUGGGCUGCCAUGAAAUCAGAACUAAGAUGGCUAAAGCAAGGAGACCAGAUAGGAGAAAUAGACAACUUACAGAAUGGGAGAAAAAUCAAGCAGGUAACUGCUGAAAGAAGUCUAUCACCAAAAUGAGUCACUGAGCCAAGAAGGAAGACAACUUCAGGGCCAGCAAGGAGUCUAGAUCAGCUGUGCAGGCCGUGGUCUAACAUUUUGGAGGGAAUGUCUAAGGAAUGAGGGGCACCGAUACAGGAACAGCUGGUGUCACAUUUAUUAGGGGCAUCGAUGUCCCAUUUUUGUGGCAUGACAGUGUGGUAUGUUGCCAAAGUGAGAAACUUCAGGGUCGGGUAAUCUAGCUGUGUAGCACUUUCUGAUAUUUGUGCCGGCACCUGUGAGUUCUGAUGAAAGUUGUGAUGAAGAGCACACCCAGGAGCAAGGAGAGCUGCUCAUGGCAUGGUGGGGGAAAAAGAAUUUGGAGAUCCAUCUCGCAGCCAUCCGAGGUGGGACUCCAGGAGCAGUUGACUGUGAAAGCUGCACAAUUUGUCAUCUUUGCCACCUUACUCUUCAUGGCAGUCACAGUGCUUGGAAUGACUGAACUGAGGAAAAUGGAUCCUCAUGCGACAGGUGUCUUGCCCUAGACCCAGACGAAAGGAAUGGAGACAGAGACACAGAGAAGAAUCUGAACAAACAGAUCUUGUGGCUUCAGAAAAGGUUGCCUGACUCUACAAAGGCUAUUUCCAUGCCACUGACAUGAGCCUAUGGAACCUUAUGUACCCUACAUGUGAGGUAGAAACACUGGUGUAAAUAGAUCCCAGUCCUGGAGGACCAUCUGACCUAUGUUGGAAAUGAUGCAAUGGAAAGAUCCUUGGCCUUGGAAUCAGAUGAGCACCUGUCACAGCUCUACAGUGUGUGAUGGUGGGGAGGUGGGCAGGUUGCUGUAACCUUUUGCUUUUCCCACCAUAGCUGUGAUGAACAUCUUUAAAUAUAUUCCUUUGUGUACCUAUGUGAAGAUUUCU